AGUGAACGCUGGCGGUAGGCCUAACACAUGCAAGUCGAACGGCAGCACAGGAGAGCUUGCUCUCUGGGUGGCGAGUGGCGGACGGGUGAGGAAUACAUCGGAAUCUACCUUUUCGUGGGGGAUAACGUAGGGAAACUUACGCUAAUACCGCAUACGACCUACGGGUGAAAGUGGGGGACCGCAAGGCCUCACGCGAUUAGAUGAGCCGACGUCCGAUUAGCUAGUUGGCGGGGUAAUGGCCCACCAAGGCGACGAUCGGUAGCUGGUCUGAGAGGAUGAUCAGCCACACUGGAACUGAGACACGGUCCAGACUCCUACGGGAGGCAGCAGUGGGGAAUAUUGGACAAUGGGCGCAAGCCUGAUCCAGCCAUACCGCGUGGGUGAAGAAGGCCUUCGGGCUGUAAAGCCCUUUUGUUGGGAAAGAAAUCCUGUCGAUUAAUACUCGGUGGGGAUGACGGUACCCAAAGAAUAAGCACCGGCUAACUUCGUGCCAGCCGCCGCCGUAAAAC
rnacentral:rRNA from 1 species